GUGCUCAUUUCUGUAGCACAUAUACUGAAAUUGGAAUUAUACAGAGAAGUUAACAUGGCCUCUGUGCAGGGAUAACAGAAAAAUUUGUGUAGUUUUCCAUAUUGUU
rnacentral:snRNA from 1 species